UGCUGGAGACUAAAAACCUGGUACAGGGGC
rnacentral:piRNA from 1 species